AUUCCAGCUCCAAUAGUGUAUAUUAAAGUUGUUGCAGUUAAAAAGCUCGUAGUUGGAUUUCUGGUAGAAGUAGCGACCUUGGGUCUUUGACCUAUGAAGUUGCUAUCUUCAACCAUCCUUGAAGAGAUUUAGUUUGGCAUUAAGUUGUCGAACUAAAGAUAUUCAUCUUUUACUGUGAAAAAAUCAGAACGUUCAAAGUAAGCAUUUAGCUUUGAAUGUAUUAGCAUGGAAUAAUGAAAUAGGACUUAGGUACUACUUUGUUGGUUUAUGCACCUAGGUAAUGAUUAAUAGGGAUAGUUGGGGGUAUUCGUAUUCCAAUGUUAGAGGUGAAAUUCUUGGAUUUUUGGAAGACGAACAACUGCGAAAGCAUUUACCAAGGAUGUUUUCAUUG
rnacentral:rRNA from 1 species